UGUCUUCGUCUUCAACACAACCCAGUGUCUUCGUCUUCAACACACUGUCAUCAAUCAACAUUAAAAUGGUUGUGGAGCGCCCAGAGAUACCAUGCGGGUCAUCCGACUGGUGGGUUGCUCAAGUCUCUUGACCCAAUGAUAUGUAGAUAGGAUUGCGACUGAGGUUAGUGGAUGGAGCAUUCCAGACAACAUUGGCAACCGCAAGUUUGUGAGAGGUGUGCGGCUGCUAGCUUUAGUUAGCAUUUUUUAGGCGGGUGUGAGAUGCUGAAAAAAUUGCCAUUGCACUGCUCACGACCACAAUUGGAUCUUGUUUCAUAAUCAUGUUCUUGAUUUUCAUAAAAACCACGACCACCACGAACAUGUAUGAGUAUUGAACUUUGGUUGGUAUUUUCAUAUCAAUUUGGCAUGUUGUAGAGUAUGACGAGUUAUUCGGUUUCACAGCGGCCAAUGACAAGACCAAAAGUUCUUUAUUUAAGAGCCAUCAUAAGGCUCCAUUCACUACCGGCUAUGACUAAAACGUCUAAAUUAUAUAUUUUUUUAAACAAUCUCAGGUU
rnacentral:lncRNA from 1 species